rnacentral:lncRNA from 1 species
UCUUCUAACAUCUAGGAUAUGACUCAUUUCCAUCUCAGCAAUGGAAUUAUGAAUUACGAUUACAGCAAGUCUCCUUUUCCAUUAAAGAUAAUGAACCCACUCAUGGGUACAUAUUAUAAAGCAUGUCCAUAAUGAUGUGCCACAUAAUACUGAAAGAGUAGUCUGCCCCCUCAAGAAUGUCUUUAUAAUUUAAUCGGUCACUGCAAGCUGGACAUUGCUCCAAGGCAAGCAAAUGCUGCCAUGUCAUUGAAGAUUGGGUCACUGACUGAGAUAUGUAUCCUGAAACACGAAGAUGGAGCAAUGGAGUCAUGAGCCAAGGAAUGUGGGCAACCUCCAGAAGCUGGAAAGGCAACCACAGAAAAUGAAUACAGAGCUCAUGCUUUGGAUUACCAGGCCUUGCUGUCUUGGAUGCCUACAAAAUGAGAGCUUAUGGAAUUACUGAGCCAUCGUAAGGAAAAACAGAGAAACAUGGCUGUUUGGUCUGAAAUAAUAGAAGGUGCUGAAUAUACACAUCUGUUAAAAGGAACAAAAAUGGUGGGAGGUAAGACUGCUCCUCUUUGUUGUUGGGGGAACCAGAUGAGAGAAUGUAUGUCAAAAUGCAUAGCACAGAGCCUAGCACAUAGUAGCCACACAAAUCCAUUUUUCCUUUCUGCACAUGAAAUUGCUUAAAGAGCAGAUACUCAACAAAAGCUGAUUUCCUUCCUUCCCUCUUCCCCUCCUCUGAUAUCUGUGUAAGUGGGACAUUCACCUUUGACCAGGAUGGCAGCGUUUUUACACACAGUCUGUCGCCUGGUCUAUACAAUCACUCCGUUGCUUGUCUAUUACAAGCCUAUUAUGUGGACAGCCCUGAACUAGGCACUGCGGGGAUACUAGAGGUAAGAUCCAGUUCCUGCCUCUUGCUUUUAGCCUUAUGGGAGGAUUAGACACAUCUUCCAGGAGCUCUAUAUAUGUAAAGAAAGCUAUUCUGUGUGGCACAAGAGAGAACAGGCAAAAUGCCCCUGCGUUUCACAGGAGGGAGGAGCCCCAUGAUGUUGGAGGAAUCAGAAAAGGCUUCCUGAGGGAGCUGAGGGCAAAGCCACACUGAAAAGGAUAGAAUUUCAGCUGGUGGAGGUGAAGAGGAUUCGGAGGCAGUUCUCUGCCAGCAGGGAAUGUUUCCCUUGGAAUUGUGCCUAGCUGUCAAAGGCCUUUUAAAAGUCUAAAUAAAGUAGACACACUGAUUCCUCUUUCGCCA